GACGAACGCUGGCAGCGUGCUUAACACAUGCAAGUCGAACGGAAAGGCUCCAGCUUGCUGGAGUACUCGAGUGGCGAACGGGUGAGUAACACGUGGGUAAUCUGCCCUGCACUCUGGGAUAAGCCUGGGAAACUGGGUCUAAUACUGGAUAUGACCUUUCUCCUUAUGGGGUUUGGUGGAAAGUUUUUCGGUGUAGGAUGAGCCCGCGGCCUAUCAGCUUGUUGGUGGGGUGAUGGCCUACCAAGGCGACGACGGGUAGCCGGCCUGAGAGGGUGAUCGGCCACAUUGGGACUGAGAUACGGCCCAGACUCCUACGGGAGGCAGCAGUGGGGAAUAUUGCACAAUGGGCGGAAGCCUGAUGCAGCGACGCCGCGUGAGGGAUGACGGCCUUCGGGUUGUAAACCUCUUUCAGCAGGGACGAAGCGUAAGUGACGGUACCUGCAGAAGAAGCACCGGCUAACUAUGUG
rnacentral:rRNA from 1 species